CUACUACAGAGAAGAAGCAGAACUACAACUACUCUCUAUACUACUUCCUGUAGCUUCAGCUUCCGACUUCCGCCAGUUGCGUGACGUCACAUACACGGAAGUUCUCUGCGCUACUUUCCAACUCCCUGUGACUCGAAUGUCUGCUUGCCAUGGGAAUCCACUGGUUGCCUUGUCUACCCCAUGACCAAACCAUCAGAUUUCCAGCAUCUCCCUUCGGAAGAACACUGGAUAAGCACCCCUACUGCAAAUGAACUGUUGGAGAACUGUAUUAUAGCACAGUGUCUGAGCAAGGUGAAGCCCUCUAAAUGGACAAAGACUGUUCUUAAAAUGAUCAGAGGCCACCUAGAGACAGUUGUGCUGUUGCUAUGUCAUGCUUUACUGUGGAGAAGGAACUGUUGGACAUAUUGGGGGGUGCUAGCAAUGCAGGUGGAGAAAUAAAAGAGGCAGCGUUGUUUGGGGGUAGAUGGGGGGCUGGUUGGGUCUCUGUGCAGGUAGACCGGUAGUUUUGGGGAGGCUGGAAGAUAGAUGGAAGGUAUUGGAGAGGCUGCACCUAUAUGCAGUGACAAUUGGCCUAUAAAAGUAUAUCACGACAUGGGAAUAUUUUUCUCUUUAGUAUUCUCACAUAGAGUUCUGUUACCAUAAUAUAAGGCUUUACUAAUUUUCUAUGCCUGUCUAUUUUUAUGUUAUUCUGUUAGAAUAAAAGGAUGGUAUGUUAGGGGUAAUGUGAAA